GCCCGGAUGGUGGAAUGGUAGACACGAAGGACUUAAACUCCUUUGGCCAUCUUUUGGCUGUGCGGGUUCAAGUCCCGCUCCGGGUA
rnacentral:tRNA from 3 species